UUUAGAAAAAAUAUUUUUAAUAUUGUAUAUGUGUCUGUGUGCAGGUAUGUUCCCAUAUGUGCAGGUGCCCUUGCAGGCCAGAAGAAGGUGACAGACUAUUCCUUGGUUGGAGUUACAGGAGGUUGUGAGCCAACCUACUUGGGUUCUAGAGACUGAAUCUGGGCACUUUGCAGAGCAAUACUUGCCAUUAAAAUUCUGAGCCGAUUAAGUGGUUGUUCUCUGUGCGACAUGUUUGUGCCCUCUUCUGAGGCACUUCUUGUUUUCUGUACUUGUGUUCAAGUGUUCAACAAAGGUCUCAAACCUUCCAGACCUGUAUGCUACUCAACAAAGCCUUGUCUCCCAAACUGCUUGCUCCCAAAUCUUGAGAGAAAUGAAAAUCAUUUUAGUGGGGCUUGCUUAAUCAAAGUCAGUCUUUCAUCGAAAGGUUAGAGAAGCUAGAGUUGCAGACUGAAGUAGUUGAAGGAUGCAGAAAGACAUCACCACGAUUCCAGGGCUGGUUGUAAUUAGUGUACUGUAGUUGUCUUCAUAGGCAUAGGCACCUUCGUUCCCGAGGUGGGGGAACUUGUGUAUAGUGCAAGGCGUUCAUCUGUAAUGUGGGUGUGUGUUGGGGCCAUGACUCAGGAUGCAAUGCCUGGUAGACAGUAGGCAGAGUCCAUGGGGUUGUGUAAGCAGUUUUGUUUUGAGUGAAGCCUUCAUAGGAGUGUUCAAAGGGGUACAGUCAUGGUAAAGGCAGAUUGCAGUGCAGCUAGGGUGGUUGUCUGCUCCUGGAGUCACUCAUCUGCCUGAGCUUUGGACCUUAGAGCAGGUUCUUCUGUGUGUCUGGAGGCAUAGUGAAUGCCAUAUCCUUCCCUAGGUACAUACCUGCUCUCAUAGGUAGUGGGCAGUGUUAAUAAAACCAAGACCUUGGAGGUGGAGGUUCAUUAAUGGGGUGAUGACCAUUCCAGAGUCCUGGCUAAUAUGGUCCCUUGGCGGGGCCCAUGGUGGUUCUGUUUCUUCAGAUGGCACCACUUGGUUGCUAUGAAACUAUGUGCUCAGUGUUAAUGGGUAGGUACUAAAACAUUCACUCAGUAUCCAAGUGUUUGAAAAAUACAGGGGGUGUAACCUUGACUUGUGUGUAGCUGGCUGGCUGGUGCUGCUUUUUAUUUGUUUGUCCUCAGUUUCUGGUUCACUCUUGCACAGUGAUUGGCUGCCUGGGUGACUUUUGGAUGUGUUAGCUGCAGGAUGUCCAAGGUAUAGUUGACUCUCAGUUGGCUUGGCUGAGUGUUUGUUUUUCUGCUACUUUGGCUAUUAAAAUUGUUGUUCUACCCUUAUCAUGCUUAGCUUUUGUCUUAUUGGUGUUUGGAUUAUGAUGCAAUCUCUCUCUCUUUUUUUUUAAACUUCUAAAUUUGUGGUCCUGUGUUUUAAAUUUUUUUCAUCUGAAAAGAAUUUAAAAAAAUGAGCCAAGCGGUGGUGGUGCAUGCCUUUAAUCCCAGCACUUGUGAGGCAGAGGCAGGUGGAUCUCUGUGAGUUCAAGGCCAGCCUGAUCUACAGAGUUAGUGCCAGGACAGGCUCCAAAGCUUCAUUAAAGAAACCCUGCUUCGAAAAACAAAACAACAACAAAAAUAAGAAAAUAAAAAAUAUGUAUGUACAGUGUGCUGGACAGUUUUAUGUCAACUUGACACAGGCUAGAGUCAUUUGAAAGGAGGGAACCUGAACGAAAAAACUGCCUCCAAAGUUCUGGCUGCAGGGUAUUUUCUUAAUUAGUGAUUGAUGAUGGAGGGCCCAACCCAUUGUGGAUGGUGCCUUCCCUGGGUUGGUGGUCCUGGGCUCUAUAUGAAAGCAAUCGGAACAAGCUAUGGGAAGCAAGCCAGUAGGCAGCAUCCCACCCCCACCCCACUCCCAUGGCCUCUGUAGCAACUCCUGCCCCUAGGUCCAGCCCUGUAGGAGUUUCUGUCCUGACUUCCUUCAGUGAUGGACUAUGGAUGUGCAAGUGUAAGCCAAAUAAACCCUUUCCUCCCCAACUUGGCUUUUGGUUGUGAUGUUUCAUCACAGCAAUAGUAACCCUAACUAAGCCAUAUAGUUACAAUUAGCUUUGCAUAGUACUUUUAGUUCAGGAAAAUAACAGUGUUCAUUUUUUGUUUGUUUGUUUCUUUUUUCUUUUCUUUUUCUUUUUUUUUUUUUUUGAGUCUGGGUUUCUCUGUCACCUUGGCUGUCCUACAAUUCACUCUGUAAACCAGGCUGGCCUUAAACUCACAGAGCUCUACCUGCUUCUGCCUCCCGAGUGCUGGGAUUAAAGAUGUGUGUGACCACGCUCAGCUGUAUCCAAGUUUUAAGAUCUGGGCACUCUUAGAUGACUAAGGAAGGGCCCUGUCCUGAUGAUGGAGGAGGCUACUCCUGCUUGAUCCAUUAAGGAAGCUGAGCUGGCACAGGGACUUGAGCAUACGCCUUGGGGUAGCUGCCCACAGUGCCUGGGGAAGGACUGAGCAGGGAUGUGUCUCCAGGAUCCCCCUAGGUCUUAUCACUGGGGCUUGCUUUCACCUGUUUCUCCUCCAGCCAUUCCUCUAGGGCUCUUCUCCUGCUAGACUGCUUGGAAGUUUUGUGAACCCAGAGAGUUUCUAGAUGCUCUACCUUACUUUGCUGUUCUCCAACGUAACUAGCUGCCCAUUUCUUACAUUUUGGAAGGACAAAAUAGGAUAGGGUGUGUGCAACCAGUUGGGAGGGGCCCAUUACCAUACACAUUGCUUCCUAAAUGGAAGCUAUUAAGCUAAAUAUGAAGUGUUUGUGUAGUGCCUGCCUGGAACUGGAAUGUGGUCAGAAGCCCAGUUCAUGCUCUUUGGGGACUUAGAGAUUAAGAGAAAAAUGGAAUUUGAUAUAAGAAGCAACUGGCAAAUAAGGGCAGUUCCAUGAGCAGGCUUCUAAUCAAGUCUAGUUUCAGAAAAGCAUCACACAUGGAGGACAGAGAGGCCACCAGGCCCGAAGGGGUGGGGAGUGCAGGUGCUUCCUCAGUCUAUCUUCUCUUUCCUUUCUUUCCUCCUCUUUUCUCCCAGAACUCAUAUGUUGUCAUAUGUUCUGAGAGUGCAAACAUCAAAAGACAGAUCUAUCCCCAAGUGUAGAAGACAGAUGUUCAUACUGCAGCGACAGCUUCAUUAGAGGAGAGAGGGAGGCCCUCCAAUAAUGGGGGAGAUUUUAAGGGAGGCUAAAUGUUGUGCUCUGUGUGUGCCUCGCCUCCGCCUCCCACCGCCCUGUUCACAUGUCAAAGUAUAAUUCCCAGAGUGACAGUGUUGAAAGUCAGAGCUUUUAGGAAGUCAUCAAGCCAACAGUGGGGAAAUGCAGUAAGGUAGAAGUGAACACACAGCUUGAGUAUGUGGCUAGCUGUGGAAGAAGGGUGAUGUGGGAGGAAGCCUAGCAUUGGGGGUGUUGAAGGAACAAAGUCUUCCUGAGAUAGACUGGGCAUGAGGGGUCCAUACAGGUUUUGUAGUUGAUAAGUGGCUCGGGUGAUGGAUGGGCCCCAUUCUCAAAGGCAAAAGCAGGGUGAGGAGUUUUGUUGGAAGACUGCAAACAAGGACAAGGAGCACAUGUUUAGUUAAUGUUAGCCAUGGCUAGCACUCUUUAUGAUUGCUCUUGUGUCAUGGUGCUGGGCUGUGCCUUCUCCCUCCCCCCCAAGACGACAUCAUAGCUGACAAAGAAAAACAAGCCUGUUGUAUACUCAUGGUGUUGGCCAGCUUUCUAUUGCUUCGACAGAUAUGUGACCAUUGGCCCAUAAAGAGAAUAGAGCCAUUUUGGCUCAUGGCUUUAGAUGUUCUAGUCUCACUGAUUUGAAGCCUGUGCAGAGGCAGCAAGCACAUCAUGGUGGUGUGUGUGUGUGUGUGUGUGUGUGUGUGUGUGUGUGUGUGUGUGUAGGAAUCAUGUGGUAAAACAAAUAGCUCAUGUCCUCACCAGAAAGGGAAAGCGAAGAAGAGGGUGUAGCCCUACCAGGGCCUUUGAAGGCAAAUCCUUAAUAACCCAGAGACAUCCCACCUGCAAAAGGCUAUAUUAUUUUCCAAUACUGCCACUCUGAUACCCAAGCUUUAGAGAGGGAGCGUGCAGUGUAGACAUUACAGCAUUCUUGGUCUAUUGUCAUAUCUGAUUAUUUGCACUAUGGGCUGGGACGUGACCAUUGUUGUUUAAUACUUCCUAUUGAUUCACAUUUUGAAAAAUGAUUAAAUUUCAUACCCCAUACAGCUCACACAAGGAAGCCAGAUCCAUCACUUUCAUGUGGGAAUAAUAAUGUUUCUUAUUUGCAAAACAUUUGUAACUUUUUAAAGCUUCCCAUAGACAACAUCUAAUGAGCUUUAUGGAGCAAAUAAUUAAUGAAAUGUACAUGGAAGUGUAAUUAAUAAAUUUGAUACUUCUAUAGCCAAUGUGCCUUUUAGUGGAGAGUAGAAUUUAGCUUGUUAAUUUUUUUUAAAAAAAUUUUAAUGUGCAAAACAAAAUUGGAAGGCCAUCUCCUGUUACUGUCCAAGCCACAUAGCAGGCUGUUUCCUGAGGGCCCUAGAGUCUGAGGAGUUACAGUUGGUGGCAGGGGAGACACACAGUAUCUGCAAUUUUGAGAGGUUAGGGUAAAACACUAGUAAUUGAAUUUGUAAGUAUAUGUACUUAAACCAGUGAGAGUGAAGGGGUCAAACUGUGAAGCACUCCCCAGGAGGCUUGUGGAGAACAGAGGCACCCCUGAAGCAAGUGUGAGUUGGGGACACUCAGUGAGUGUUCAUUUCCUUUCCAUAUUAAGUAUUUUCUGGGGGGAAUUGGUAGCUCUUCCAGGGCCUCAGAAAAGCGCCACAGGUUCUGACAAACAUGAAGACUCAUCCUGUUGCUGACCGUGAAGUGGGAAUUGAGCAGUACAACCCCUUCUUAGGUCUGGGUCCCACUCACCUGGACUUCUGUCCACAGUCUAACCUCUUCUCCAGGACCCCAAACAUAGUUUUAGCUUCUGUCCUGGUACAGGUUGUUCAGCUGUUGGAUACAAGUUGACUUCAGCUCUGUGUCUCCCCUUUUGGCAAAAACUACUGUGCUUUGUCCCCAUGGCCUGUGGUGUGGCCCCUGCUGCUGAGCCAGUCCUGGCAGCCAGCACUGCUAGCUGCUGUGUGCCUUUUCCUGCUCAUCUAUUUACUGUUGUGUGUGACUCUGCCUUCCUCUGCCAAGUGUCCCAAUCCCCUUCUUGUGUUCCAAGUGUAAGCCAUUCACGCUGCUGUUCACACUUACUCCCACAGUUUUCUGCUUUCUCCCCUGAAGCCCCAGGAAAUGUUGCCUGGGGUGAGGCUGGCAUGUCUGCUGCCUUUCCUUGGCUCAGUCCUUCUUAGUUUCCCAGGAGAACAGCAGUGACAGGUGCUCCUCUUAACAGUGCUUGAGGUCAUCGGUCAAUAGUUUAGGUGGCAAAUGAAGUGUUUUCUGAUCUCUGGUAAUUAGUGUGUGUGAUCAAUACGUACUAAAUAACUUCGGCAGAGGGAUUUUCUUGUAGUUACGAAUUGUGAGUUGGUGUAGGGCUUGUAAUAAAAUGGCAAGGUCCCUGAUGAAAGAGUUUGCCCUGCAGGCAACUGUAGAAGAAACACACUCUUUCUUUUCCAUUUGCUUAGAAACUGGGCAUGGGUUACCUCAAUAGAUUACUUGUUAUUUUGUCUAUCAUUAAAAUAUACUGUCUGCUGUCAGAAGACAUAGUGGUAACUAUGAUCCACAAAGCUCACUGUCUUGUUUACUGUUGCUAGGAUAUGGUAAGACAUCAGGGGGCAUUUUUUUUUCUUGCUGCUGGAGGUGUUAGAGAGGGAUAUCACAGCAAGGCCAGGAAAAAAAUAAGAAUGAUUCUUGAAAGCAGGCUGGAGAAUUUAGCACACUCUUUCUUAAAGCAGAUUCCUUCUAGGACCUGGUUGUCACUUUUGGUGUCACUUAGGAAAACAUUGUCUAGGCAAAGCUAUCUUUGGGUAUUGGGAGGCACAGUUGGCAUCAGAGUCAGGAGGGAACAGGGGCUCCACCUUAUUUGUAUGUGGUGAGAUUUCUAGAUGGAGGCAGAAUCCUUUCGAUAUUGUUGGGAGUGGUUAUGUUUUUACAUAAGGGAGCUUGCCCUGAUAUGCAGGCUCAGAGUUCCUACCCCAAGAUGCCUGCUGGGCAAGUGUCUCAGUCAGAGUGUACAAAAAUGAACUUGGGUAGGGGUGUGGCUCAGUGGAAAGGCACUUGCUGAAAAUUAACAAGGCCCUAGCACCAUAGAAGGAAGGAAGGGAAAAAAAACCAAAAAAAAACAAAAAACCCCUCUUACUUCAAGCUAUGUGUUGGUCCCACUUGACCUCUCUCCUGUCCAUCAUUGUUCCCUUCAGGCCUUGGUGUCCACUAAUGUCCCGUUGGUCUUCUCCCUAACAUCCUUCAGUCUCCUACUGUCUCAUUUUGAUCAUAGGCAAUUCCACUUCCCCAGUGAUUCAGGCCUCACAUUUGGCAACUUAAUCCCUCUCAUAGUCAAGUCUUUGAAUACAUCUUGUUGUUUAUCUGUAAAUUUAUCACAGACCAUAUCACUCUUCAUGGUUCUCCCUGUGUGUGCUCCACCCAGGAGUCCGACUGCCUCCCUUCAACGUUCCUCACAAGUAGUUCCUAUCCUAGGCCUCUGUGGUUUUCCUGCCUGAAACUUCAUCCUGAUGCAUGGGUGUUCCUGCCUCAUUAAGGCCUUUGGUCGGGUGACCUCCCCACCGUAAUUUUUUCCUGUUUGUGGCAUCCUAUUAUAGCAUGCUGGAAGUUAUCCCUUCCUAGAAAACUCUUGAGAGCAGACAAAUCACUGCCCUCUCCAUUGUUCAGCAGCAACUCAGUGUUGCUAGUUACAUAGACAAGUGGGCAUGGGAGCUAGGGAGGCCUUGUUUGGCAGGGGUGCAGAGAAUGUCCUCUGGACUCUGGUGCUGAGGCAGAGUGGUUCAUGGGCUCCUGUCUGUCUGUUGAUGUCUCAGUGGCUGCCAGGGGUGGGUGCAAGGCCAUGGGUGCAAGGUCAUCUCACCUCUGUUACUGUGGGUUAGGUCAAGCUUCACUGCAAACAGUAAGUUCUGAUGGAAGGGGUAAAGUACAGGAACAGGCUUGGGGACAUGUCACUCAAUGCUCUCAUCCCCCUUCCCAGGGCUAGCUUUCUACUUACCUACAUUAUUUCCCUUCCUCCAGGAUUGGAAUUGAAUUUAGGUCUUCAUCCAUGUUAGGCUUGCUCUGAGGAGUUACCCAAUACUUCAGGAGCUACUGGGAGCUUUGGAUUCUUACAGCAUGGUCCAGAUGAUCCACCCUGGUCCAGGUGAGGGUGUUGGGCUAGACCUGAAGUGAUUGGCAUUCUAUUUAUUUUUUUGUUUGUUUGUUUGUUUCUGGGAUGGGAACUGGAGAUGGAGACAGAACUCUCUGACUGGAUGGAAGUUAUCUGUCAUUAAAGGAGGCAGAAGAAAGUCUCAAGAAUAUUGUUGUUGGAUCUGUGCCAGCAGGCUCUACCCAGCCUCAUGUGCUGCCUCUAGUUGGUGUUUCCUUACUUAGCUCCACCAGAAGAGUAUUGGACUUCCCCAUGCUGUGCAGGUUCUCCCCUCUCCCCACCAACAUGAAGUGCUCUGGGAUGGAACAAAAGCAAAACCUCUAUUUUACUUUGCACGUGACUGUCUAUUAUAAACUGACUUUCUGUUUUCUUCCCAGAAAAAGGGUGAAUAGGUGAGAAGAUGUGUAGAUGGGGAACCAGGUAUAUCCUAGUUCUGAGAAGCAGUGUCUUAGACUAAAGAAUUUAGACCCCACCCAUCUGGCCUCACACUUCUGUGAAGUGUGUAGUUAAGGUGUAUUGCUCAUGAGGAGCCAAGAGAGAGCGAUUCCACAUAAUGAUGCCCUGCACACAGCAGCCGCACCACAAAUUGUGGCUGCACUAGUGUUUUAGCUGUGGAAAUACGUUGAUGAAACUGACCCCUGGGCGGGUUUUAGGAGGCACAUUGUGGCCAGUACUCAUAGGCCUUAUCCUCUGCUUUGGCUGAGAGGAUUUGCAGAGUUUCUCAUCAGAAUGGUGCCAUGAAGAUGGCUGCUUAUUACUGUGUGGGACAUUUGUGUUCCAGACUGGGUCAGGCACCAGCCACAAGUGGUGUCGGGUCACAGAACUGGAAAUGUGAAUCUCGUGAGUUUAGCCUCCUGAGUGCAGUGAUUUGAAAGAAGAUCAUUGAAGGGGCCACUUAGAAGUUUAAACAGAUGCAUUCUCCAUUUUUCACCUAAGCUUUGUAUAGGGAUUUCAUUAGCUCUAAAUGAGUUUGUCUGAAUGGCAAUAGCACUCUUUAAAUUCUAAUUAUCUAUUGAAUUAACUACUAUGAGUUCUGAUUAGUCAGAAUGACUUACAGGCGUUAAUGAUUAUUGUCUUAAAGCAAGUGAAAGUCCAGGUUAUCUGGUCCCGUCUAAGGGAAAGCUCCAUUGUCUUUUACACUCAUUCUCUACCUUUUAGAAGCCCUCACUGGGCACUGCAUGGUCUGGGGACAUGAUACAGAUGCCAUGACUGUAUUAGGUGGUCUUGGGGUGGAGGGAGCAGAGUUCAGAGCUGGUUGCUGGCAGGCCUUUAUCCCUUUACAUGGAGGUGGGUGCCCUGUCACGUGCCUCCUGCAUUCGGACUGUGUCUGUGAUAUCACACCAUGUGGCCAUCUCACCAGGGCCAGCCUCAUCAGGCUCCUGGGACUGAGACCCCCUGGCAAUGUGCUGAUCCACACAACCCAUUCCAUACCAGUCAUCAGGAACCUCACUCCCACUUGGCCCAUGAAGCAGAUUCACAAGUAUGUAAAUAUUUCUUUGACUUUUGCUUUGUUUUGGAAUGGACUUUAGACACAAAUUCAUUGCUUCAUGACUAGAAUUUUGGAAAAGCUAUCUCUCAACCCCUCUCAUCUAUGGACAUAAAUGACUGGGGUGUUUUGCAGAGGGUCAUAGAUUCACUUACAAGUGGAACAGUCAGGAUGUCCUCUGUCUCACUGAAUGUUAAACCCUCUGGUUAAGCAGGUGCUGCCAGCCUAUAGGUGCAGUGUCAGGCACACCUUUAUACUGUCCCUCCCUCUCGUGUGCCCAUCACUGCUGUAAGCCUUUCCUGGGACUCUGGUGGCCUUUCUGUGGAUUCUCUUCACUGGGAUGUGCUGUUCCCACCACUAGGUGUCCAAGAGAGUACUGGCUUCUGCUUUCUCUGAGUGUGCUCAUAGUGUAUGCAUGCAUGCAUUCAUGUGCACAUGUGUGCUGAAUACGUGCACAGAUGCAUGCGUGGCUGUGCAUGUAAGUACGUCUACAUGCACCAUUGCUUGCUUGCUUGCUUUAUAGGAUAGCUUACUUAAUUUUAAAAUUAAGUUCUUUGAGAAUUUCAUAUAUUCUGUAUGGUACUCUGCACACUCCUCCAGGAUGCUUCCCCUCCUCACACAAUUUCAUGUUCUCUCUCUCUGUUAAAAAAACAAAAACCAAAAAACAAAACAAGACAAACCCAUUUUAGAACCAAAGCAAAUAACCCAAUGCAACCCAACCCAAACCAAAUCAAAACAAAGAACCUCACAAAAAGCAGGCCAUCUGAUUUGUAUUGGCCAGCUGCUACUGAGUAUGGGGUUUCCCCUGGAGUGUGGUUGAUAUACAUACAUACAUACAUACAUACAUACAUACAUACAUACAUACAUUCAGAGUCACUCCAUUGAAGAAAACUGAUUUUGCCUCUCCCAGCAGCUGUCAGUUAUUAAUAACUUCCUGUUAGGGGCGGGUCUUUGUGACCACUUCCCCUCCUCUGAGCUAUUAUUUUAUCUGGCUUGUGUUUGUGCAAGUCUUGUGCUUGGCGUCACAACUGUGAGGUACAAAUGUUAUGAGAUCAUAGGUGCAUCUGCCCUGUUGUGUCUGGAGGGAGCUGUUUCCUUAAAGUUGUUCACUACCUCGAGCUCUUGCAAUCUCCACCUCCCCUCCUUAGAUCCCUAAGCCUUAAGCAGAGAGGUGUGAUGCUGACAUACCAGUCAGGGCUGAGCACUUCAGAGUCUCUCACUCUUUGUUUGUUGGUGCCAUUGCUUUCUAGGUGUGACUUUGCCAGGGUACCGAGCAGUCAGGGGGUUACACUAUCAAUGUUCAGAUUGCUGGUGCCUGACUCAGUACCUGCUUCACAGUGGGUAAUUGCUGAGUGUGUGGAUAAGUGAGCUCACAACAGCAGCUUUCAGGGUCUAAUGGCAUGUUGUGUUGUAGUCUCAUGUUUGUCUAGGAAAGAACUGACUGCUUCAUACUGUUUGUGUCUGUUGGUACCUCAAAGGAUGAUAGUUUAUGAAACCCAAAGAUGUGCCAAACUCGGUCCUGGUCCUCAUGCUUGUUAUAUGCUUCUCUGUCAUCAUUUGUGUCUACUCAAAAAUUCAGUGUCCUCCCAGGGUGAUCUCCUGCACUGCUUUAGCAAUUCUGAAAUUCAUCAUUACUUUGAAAAAAAAAACAAAACAAAACCUGUUUGCUACUUGGAGACUUGAGAUAGGUCAGAGAUGGUGCCUGGAUGUGGAUAGCAAAACCUGGGCUACCUUGACCAGAGUAUAUUGGAACCCAGGGCAUAUCUUUGUCAUGGACAGGAGCAGGGGGCAGUAGGUAAAGGCCUUUGUGUUGAAAGCGGCUGUUUGUGGCCAUGGUGAGCAGCUUCACAGUGUCCUCCUCCUGGCAGAGUGCUGGUGACACAAUAGGGGUGACUGGUGUAACCUCAGCAUAUUGGGAUGUCCUUUUAGUAGUGAAGCCCUGAUGCCCUGGCACCUUCUCCCAUUGUCCCUCAUGGCUGAACAUUCUGGAUGCUAUUUUCACAAGGGCCUUUGGGAAGAGCAUUCUGUAUCCUUGAGCCUGAAUUAGAUGACUGCUAUACUGUCAGGUAUUAUUUAACAUCUUCUCCUAUAUUGAAAAUAAGUGCUAACUCAUACACUUCAGGGUCACAACAGGGUGGGUUUCUUUGUCACCAGUUGGAGUCACCAGUUUGCUUCUUUAUGCAAUUCACUUCCUUCCAGAAGUGAUUCAAUGAAAACUACUGAAGUACAUAUAUCAGGGUAAUAAAAUAUUCAGGCCAAACAGAAAGAGUGAGCUUAACAGGUGUUUUGGUUUGGAUGGGAUAUGUCACUUAAAAGCACAUGUAUUUGAACACUUGGUCCCUGGUUGGUGGUACUGAUUUGGAAGUUUAUAGAACCUUUAGAGGGUAGGGCCUGUUAGAGGAAUUGCAUCACUGGGUAUGAGCUUUGACGUUUUAUAGCCUGGCCUUGCUUCCUGCUUUCUCUUUCUGGUGUGUGUGUGUGUGUGUGUGUGUGUGUGUGUGUGUGUGUGUGUGUGUGUAUGUGUGUGUAAUAUGAUCUCCCAGCUCCCAGUGUGUGUCUCAUACUCCUGCUGCCAGUGGGGGAGACCCCCCCACCAUGAUGGGCUGUAUGCUCCCUGAAAUACUUUUUGUCCUGUAAGUUGCUUUUUGUCGGGUGUUCUGUUAUAGCAGCAGGAAAGUAACCAUGACAACAGGGCUUGCUUAAGUGAAGGAAGUCUUUGGAUGCAUUGACUUCCUAGAACCAUUUAGAAGCAUUUAUUUUCACAUAUGUGUCUAGGGAAGCCUACCAAAGCAAUUUUGUUUAGACAUCUAGCAUUUCAAGUUCUCCCUAGUAGGAAACUUAGGCCAUGGCAACACCAGCCACCUUACUGCUUGCUUUGCUGACUUUCCGUCUGGUAAAAGGACAUGGCUUCAGGGGCUUGCAAAGAGGUUUUUAAUUCUUAGGGAUGUUUUGAUUUUAGGCCUGGAGGUGUGUUCAGGUGAUUAGUGGCAUCUAAUUAGGGUAGGGUAGACAAGUGCUUUGUAGACUUUAUUCCGGUAGAGAAAAACUACCUGUAAAUACAUACUAAUGGUUUUCAUUACAGAAGUGGACUUUUUAGAAUACUACGGAGAUUGAUAAAAUUUUACUCCUUAACAUGGUGUGAGUCUGCAUAGUAUAUAGAAAAAGAAAUAAACAUUGAAAAAGUUGUAUUUCUUUACUUAGCCUCUAUUAAAGUCUUCUAAGCAGCUUUGGCCUCCCACACAGCUCUGACAGGCAUUGCUCUAGCCCAGCUUCUUUCAGCUGUUAAGCAAUUAGCACCAAGGUCGGAUCUAAAUAAUCUCCCUGUCUUGUUGAUCGGGAGCUUUUUAUACAGACCCUCUCUUUGCCAGUGUUUUUGGUGCAUCAAGGACCUUGUACCUUUGUUGUUGCUUUUCUUAGUUCUUCAUCCGUGUUUGGGUUGGCUGUCUUUCUGAAAGCACCAAGGUUUGUGUCUGUUCUGCCCCCACCCCUUCCCUGCUGUUCUUGAUUUCCCAAUCAGAUCAUGUAUUCAUGGAGAGCACUUGUGUCAUUGGGGUGUUAAGGUAGGGCCCCAAGAAACUUCUGGCUCUUAACCUUGGGCACAUAAAUAACUUCGGUGAGGUGGACAUAAUCACAUGUCUCAAACUGUGGCAAGGAAUAAUGAGACAAUAUGGGGACAGCACCCAUCCUCCUGUCUGUCUAUCCAGUCAUUUAUCUUCCAACCUACACUUAACUUCCAAACUUAAGCUAAUGUAAAGAUAAAGGCCGUUAGGUUUUUUUCCCCUCUUACCUGCCAAUGCCUUUCUUUGGGUUUUGUAAUUGCUAAUUGACCUUUGAAAUCUUUGUGCAUAUUUAUUGAUCCACAAGAUUGAUGUGGUGGUUAAUAUUAUACUCAUUUACAUUUACAUCCGAAAGUGUGGUCACCAAUGGCUUAGGUGUCUCCUCGUUCCUUCCCUCACAGACAGAUGGACAGACAGACAGACAGACAGACAGACACACACACACACACACACACACACACACUCACUCCUCUACCUCUAGUAGCUCUUCUGAAUGUUUCUAUGUAGAGUUUGAGCUUUUGGCAGAGGUUAUGGACUGACAGACCACAUGACUGAACACAUGGUUGGGAUUUCUGUCUUCAAGGACAGACAGCAUUGCUCAUUUGAAAGUGCAAUUGAAUAAAUAUUGAGAAAACAUGCAUCACAUACCUCAUUAGCAACUAGGCUAGGCCUUCUGGGGGAAGCAGACCAGCACACAUGAACAUGUGAAUGACCGGUCUGUGGUCCCUGGAACAUGGUUGGGGCAUGCCGUCUCAUAAAUGUAAGAUUCUCAGAAGGCAGAGGGACUGAUUUUGGUAUCCCAACUCCCCUUUUGGAGAAGUGGAGGAUUUACCUAAGUGGGAGCUGAGAUCAGCGCAGGAGGACAAACAGAGAAGCAUCCUCGGAGUGUCUAGUAUGUCAUUCUAAAAGUUGAGUGCACUGUGGAGUGAGGAGGGGUGGUUCUGAAUCUAGAAGGAGCUCAAAUCUGGGCUGCCCAGCUCAUGGGGGUGUUCUCAGGACUCCUGCCAAGUCAUACCAUUCAUGAGAAUCCAUUCAUUAUAGAAAUAAUGGCAGGCAGAGUGGGGAGACUCUCUUCAUACAUUUGGUGUAAGUUAUAUCAGUUUGGGGGGCUGCCAGCAGGUUUUGCUGAGUUUAUUACAGCAGAAAACCCUACUCCAGCUAAUUAAUAUUCAUAUAGACUUUGCUAGAUGCUUUCUGUAAUGUAUAUUAUUGCCAUCCUCGAUUUUCAAAUUUGAAUCUGGGACUUAGGGGGAUUAAGUCAUGGACCCAAGUCAACCCAGCUUUAGUGAAUUGGGGAAGCUUCCAGCUUGUUUGUGUGUGUGUGUGUGUGUGUGUGUGUGUGUGUGUGUGUGUGUGUGUGUGUGUGUGCAUGCUUGCCUGUGUAGGUGAAUGUGUAGGCCAGAGGUUGCUAUACAGUGCUGAGGUUACAGACCUCUUCCAUCACAUCUGGAUUUUGAAUGGAUGAUGGUGUUCAGGAUCUGAAUCCUUAUUAGUGUAUCUGUCCUGCCUCCUGAACAGCAAGUACUUUAUCCACUGAGCGAUCAAUCCAGCUCAUGGUCCAUAUCUUUGACCUUCUCUCUCUGUCUACCUUGCUAUGGCCAAGAGGUCCCCAGGGAGUCUGGACAGCAGUGUUCAAUGAAGGAGCAAUAGAUAACAUAGGUUAUUUUUACUUCAAGGGGAGGGAAGAGAUGUGAAAUCCCCGCACAGGAUUAUGGGAAAAUGACGUGUAAAAUGCUCAGCCUGUGUCUUGUGGAAUGGGAGUCAGGGCCCAAAGUGGCUCUCAUUCCUCCUUUCUGAUGAGUUGGUCUCCCCCAGGAAUUACAAAGCAGGCACUGAGAGACAUGAGUGGAUGCUCAAGAGCAAAUUAAAAAUGCAUUGUUAAAAAUGGAUUCAAUGUGUGAACAAAGAUUGGCAUGAAGGUUGGGUCCUUGUGUUUUUAGAGGCUAAUUAAAGUGCAUGAACGAUGCUAAAUUCAGAUAACUCAUAUCAUCAGAAAUCUCUGCUAAGCACUUACUGUAGAGCUGAUGGCAGCCUGCAGAAGUCUGGACAGUCUGCAGCCAUCAGCUUUUAGCCAUGCUGGGACCACUCUGCUCUGAGAUCUCUGAUAUCUAGGGAUACUUGUACCAAUACAUUCCAGCAUUCUUGAUUUCGGGGAUUCAACAUGGUACUGGAUGCCACUUUUGGAGGUUGUGGUCAGGUUUUUGUAAAGAGCUUGAUUGGAGCUGAGGCAAGGAACUGUUGCUCAUGGGUGCUUACCCUUAUCAGUGAGAUGCUGUGUGUGUUUUCUUGAGGGAGUCAGCUGCCACACAAAGGACAGAUACCACGGUCCCACUGGGUGACUGGAUAGCUGUGUAUGGGCUAUAACAGUCAGUAGAGUGAAGGAAACACGAUCUAUGGCAGAGAAUUCCAUGAUUUUGUUAAUGACUUGGAAACUGGCCUCCAGGGGGUGCCUGUAGGGCAGGUCUUGCCCCAGUCUGUCUUAGCCCUUAAUGACAUUGAGGUGGGUAGGGGGAAACCCUGAUGGUCAGGCCACCUUUCCUAUUAACCAUAUGUAGACCUGGGAAGACUUGCACCUAUCAGUAUGAGUAAGUACUGAUGCUUAUUCUAUUGUGAUGGAGCAUUGCUGUUUAGCAUCAUAGUGCAUGGUCAUUGUUAAUAUUCCUUGUCACCAGCCAUCAUCAUGGAAGACGAGUUCUAUGUAUGGCUAACCUGGGAAAAGAAAAAGUAUAGUUUAUUCUUUAGCAUCACCAUGAAGUUAUAAGUUGAACCAUUGUUAGUCAGGGCUUAUCUGUCUUCUUAGAAACAUGCCAAGAUAAGGAAUAGUUUUGUUUGUUUUUUAAAUAAGGCUAGGUUAAUUUUGCUACUAGUAGUCUAUAACUUUAUAUUUAUACUUUUUUUGGGAAAAUUUUUAAAAUAAAGUGACUAUUCACUGCAUACAGAUAUAAUGAUGGUGUGCUAAGAAGAAAAGUGAUUUUGGAUAAACUUAAGGCCUCCAUUUCAAACAAUUUUACAUUUCAAACCAUUUUAUGUUCCAAUCCUUGGCUUAUUUGCUUUGUAGAUAGCAGGAUGAGAGAAUCUGUUAAGAAAGGUUGCUUCUCUAAGGGAGGAAGUUGGCUGGAGCAAAGAGUUAGCAGUUUGAAUGACUAUGCUGUAGACAGAAUAGGGCUUUUAUGGUACCUACAGAGGACAUUUGCCUCUGGUACAUAGUUUGAACUUCCUUGUGCAUUCCCUGUUUCAUGUAGUUCUCUAUACAGCUUUAUGCAUCGUGUGCCUGUUAGCAUCUCCAGUUACCACCCAGUGUUGUGACAACUCAUAGAUUGCCUCCAGGCACUCGGGAAUGCCUUUGUGCCUGUAAGGUGCCUGACUUUAGUUGGCCUCAUGGCUGAUUGAAGGGGCAUCCAGUCUUUCCUCUGGCCAACUUUCACCUUUGUGAAAGGCUCUUUGGACCUUAUUCUCUGCCCUAAUUUCCAUCCUCAUCUAUACCUCCCCACCAGCUCUGGUUUCAGAAGUGUUUUGGGGGAGCUAGUGGAAGGUUGAUAAUCCACCUUUUGUACCUGCUCCCAUGUGAUGGAGAGACAUAGUUCAGUGGAGGAGGGACAGUGAAACUCUCUGACCAUUUCUCUCUGUUGGUUGGAGAGAAGAGUCUGGAUGCCUUGGAGUUGGAAGUGGCGGAAUCCUUCCUUCACAGGGUUCGUCUGGGCUGUGGAAUCCCAGAAGAUACAAUCACUUUUCUCUCUGAGCACUAGGCAGGUCCCUCUUGGGCUCCUGUUAGUAUGGGUAAGGCCACCAGGUCUUGUUUGGAUAGAGUCUCACCUCGUAUCUUUGGCUGGCUUGGAACUUGCUGUGUAGACCAGGCUGGCCUCCAACUUAGAGAUCCACCUGCCUCUGCCUCCUAGAUGCUGCUGGGGAUAAAGGUGUGUGCCACUGUGACUAGUCAAUCUUUUUAGUUUUGAGUUUAGGAUCAGUAGAAAAAAAACUAUACUGGUGAUUCUAUAUUGAAAAUGUGGCAUUUUAUUUAGAUCAGCGUGAGUAGUUGUAUUAGUAACUUUUCUGUUGCUGUGAUGGAGGAUCCUGGAAAAAAUUAAGUUAGGGAAGAAAGGGCUCAUUUAGGCUUCUAGGUACUGAGGGGACCCAGUCCAUCAUGGCGGGGAAGGCACAGCAGCAGGAGCAUGAGGCAGGCUUGGCAGUCAGGAUGCAGAGUGAUCACAUUUCAUCAGCAUGCAAGAAGCAGCUCUUCUAGUACAGACAGGAAGUGGGUUAGGCUAUAAAACCCUCAAAAUUUGCCCUCAGUGUGUCCUUCCAGUAAAGCCCUAAGGGUUCCACAACUGCCCCCAGAAGUGUCACCAACCAGAGAACAAAUGUUUAAAUACACGAACCCCCGGGGGAUAUUGUUCAUUUAAACCACAACAGCUGGUAAAAUAGAUCCAUAUUGAAGAGAGUACAAGCCAUCAUAUAUUGGUCCAAGACAUCAACCCAAUACAAGGAGGAAAACUGUGCAGAGCGGAGGUUCUUGGAACAUUUUUAAAGAUGGCUGAGGUGGGGAAAAUGGAGUCAAGAGGAUGUAUCAGUUUUCUAUGGUUUAAUUUUCUAAGUGUAAAAACCAUGAUCAAAAGCAACCGACAUAUGAAAGCAUGUACUUUGAUUUACAGUUUCAGGGAGGUAAGAGUCCAUCACGGUGGGGUGUCAUGGCAGCAGGUUGCUGAGGGAUCACACCUCCACUCACUUGCAGAAAGUGAGGCAGAGUCCAUCAUGGCAGGGGGUGGAGUAGCAGCGUGUGCUGGAGCAGGAAGCUGACUGACCACAUUUGGUCACAUGGGAAGUAGAGGACUUGAACUGGAAGUGGGGUGUGGCUAUAAAUUCUCAAAGCUUGCUCCCUAAUUCUUCCUUCAGCAGGGUUCCACCUCCAACAAGUCCCAAAACUUCUCCAAAUAAUGUUACCGUCUGGGGACCAAGUAUUCAAACACAUGCUGUGGAGAGCGUGGUUGGUGGGCUGUGAGUCACACUGAUUCAGAUGUCCACAGGAGAUUUGCCUUGCAAAUAUGCUCAGCUGGUUUAUUUACACAAAUCUUCCUCACAAUACCAUGCUACUUACUAUACAGGUUAUGGUCACCUCAUAGACACAGAGCAGUCGGGCAGAAAAUGCUCCCACUGGGGAACCCUGUGCAGUGAGGGUGCUUCAAGAGCAGGCCCCACCCAUAUCAGCUGUGAGGUCCUCAGCUGUGCUAGGUUGGCAGGAUGGCAUUGUUGGAAGUUCAGAGGGUCCUUGAGAAGUCAGCCCGUGGCUAGUGCUGAUGGGCAGGCAGGUGUGAACUCAGUAAAAUGCUGGCAACUUAACAGUUGCCUGAAUGACACAGUGGCCACUGUCUAAGUACCCUUGCUGGUGGGCUUGAGAUGCCGUGUCUCAGGAACAGGGCAGUGAGAUCCUAGGGCUACUUCCAUAGUUCCAGUUUUUUUUUUUUUUGUCCAGUGGGCAUCAGUUUUGUGCUUUUGGGGUUCCCAGUUCAUUGAUGUAUCAGAGCCACCUUGGGGUUGGUUUAUUAUCAUAUCAGAGUCUGCCUUAAGCUUGGCUCAUAUUGAAGCAGCCUUGUGGCUGGCUCCUUAACACAUCUUGCAAGCAUCCAGUUCACACAACGUGUUUUCACUUAUGUUCCUAAUAUGAGCCUAUGGGAGGAAACAUUAUUCAAACUUCCACAGAGGAGAUGGAGGCUUUCUCUUUCAUCUCAUGUAUGACUCAGAGUGCUAGCAUCCUGGAUAAAUCAGCAGUCGGCAGAGAAACCCCAGGACAAGUGGCUUCAGGUCCUUUAUCCCAUGUACUCCCAGAGUGAAAUUUACAGAAAACAGGAAGUUCAGUUUAAAAGGGAAUUUUAUUACAGGAUUAUAAAUUGGGGCUUGAGAGAAGAAAAGAGAGUAAACUCCAGAAUAGAAGGUGUGGGUCCCAGAAAAUGGGGUGCUAUGGAGCUGCUAGUCUAGGGGAGAUUAGAGAAAGCCAUGCCUUUUGAAGUUAGGGACCGAGAAAGCCAUCAUGUUCAGCAGUGGAGAUCUGCCUGGUGGGGUGAGGGGACCUGAGAGAAUGAGAAAGCCCAGAUUAUCAGGGAGAGCUGCUUAAGCCUUUGGCAGGUGUGAUGGCUAACCUUAGUUGUUAACUUGACACGCCUGGGAAGAAGGAUCGGCAAUGAGGCACUGCUGUAAUCACCAGAUUGUCCUGUGAGCAUGUCUGUGUGUGUGAGGGGGCAUUUUCUUGAUUUCUAAUUAUGUAGGUAGACCCAGGCCACGAAGGGCUGUACCAUCUCUAAGCAGGUGGGCCUAGGCUGUAUCAUAAAGUUGUCAGGGAGCCUAGAAGCAAGUCCAGUGAGGCAGCAUUCCCCAUGGCCGGUGCUUCAGUCGCUGUCUCCAGGUCCCUGCAGGCUGGUUUUGGUUGGUGUUUAUCACAGCAACAGAGAAGCAAACUAGGUCAGGUGUCCGAAAAAGAUAGGAGGAGAAGGAAAAAAAAUUACGCUUUCUGAGUUAGAAUUCAGAAAACAGCCAGGCUUAAACAUGGC
ensembl:lncRNA